rnacentral:rRNA from 1 species
UGCAGUCGAACGAUGAACUGGAGCUUGCUCCAGGGAUUAGUGGCGAACGGGUGAGUAACACGUGAGUAACCUGCCCUUGACUCUGGGAUAAGCGUUGGAAACGACGUCUAAUACCGGAUAUGAACUGUGACGGCAUCGUCUGCAGUUGGAAAGAAUUUUGGUCAAGGAUGGACUCGCGGCCUAUCAGGUAGUUGGUGAGGUAAUGGCUCACCAAGCCGACGACGGGUAGCCGGCCUGAGAGGGUGACCGGCCACACUGGGACUGAGACACGGCCCAGACUCCUACGGGAGGCAGCAGUGGGGAAUAUUGCACAAUGGGCGAAAGCCUGAUGCAGCAACGCCGCGUGAGGGACGACGGCCUUCGGGUUGUAAACCUCUUUUAGUAGGGAAGAAGCGAAAGUGACGGUACCUGCAGAAAAAGCACCGGCUAACUACGUGCCAGCAGCCGCGGUAAUACGUAGGGUGCAAGCGUUGUCCGGAAUUAUUGGGCGUAAAGAGCUCGUAGGCGGUUUGUCGCGUCUGCUGUGAAAUCUGGGGGCUCAACCCCCAGCCUGCAGUGGGUACGGGCAGACUAGAGUGCGGUAGGGGAGAUUGGAAUUCCUGGUGUAGCGGUGGAAUGCGCAGAUAUCAGGAGGAACACCGAUGGCGAAGGCAGAUCUCUGGGCCGUAACUGACGCUGAGGAGCGAAAGCAUGGGGAGCGAACAGGAUUAGAUACCCUGGUAGUCCAUGCCGUAAACGUUGGGAACUAGAUGUAGGGGCCAUUCCACGGUUUCUGUGUCGCAGCUAACGCAUUAAGUUCCCCGCCUGGGGAGUACGGCCGCAAGGCUAAAACUCAAAGGAAUUGACGGGGGCCCGCACAAGCGGCGGAGCAUGCGGAUUAAUUCGAUGCAACGCGAAGAACCUUACCAAGGCUUGACAUAUACCGGAAACGUCCAGAGAUGGUCGCCCCGCAAGGUC